GGUUUCUUGAUUAUUUAAGAAAUUUAACCUGCCCACUGAUUGAUAAAUUUGAAGGGCCGCGGUAUUUUGACUGUGCAAAGGUAGCAUAAUCAUUAGUCUUUUAAUUGAAGGCUUGUAUGAAUGGUUGAACGAGAUAAAAUCUGUUUUAUUUUAAUUUAAUUGAAUUUAGAUUUUAAGUUAAAAGACUUAAAUGAGAUUGAGGGACGAGAAGACCCUAUAGAGUUUAAUAUAUUAUGUAAUUAAUUGAGUUAAUACUCAAUUUUCGAUUAUUUAUAUAAUAUAUUUAGUUGGGGUGAUAGGAAGAUAAAUUUAACUCUUUUUUAAUUUUAAUAUUGUAGGCAGUGUUACAUGAUCCAUAUUUAAUGAUUAAAAGAUUAAAUUACCUUAGGGAUAACAGCAUAAUUUUUUUUGAGAGUUCUUAUUGAAAAAGAAGAUUGUGACCUCGAUGUUGGAUUAAGAUUAAUUUUGGAUGUAGAUGUUCAGAAAUUAGGUCUGUUCGACCUUUAAAAUCUUACA
rnacentral:rRNA from 1 species